UACAGAGGUCUCAAGCGUUGUUCGGAUUCACUGGGCGUAAAGGGUGCGCAGGCGGCCAAGUGUGUGAGGCGUGAAAGCCCGAUGCUCAACAUCGGAAUUGCACCUCAAACUACAUGGCUAGAGCAUUGGAGAGGGUAGCGGAAUUCACGGUGUAGCAGUGAAAUGCGUAGAUAUCGUGAGGAACACCAGAGGCGAAGGCGGCUACCUGGACAAUUGCUGACGCUCAGGCACGAAAGCGUGGGGAGCAAAAGGG
rnacentral:rRNA from 1 species